UCCUUUGCUGCUCUGAUCUAAAAGGAGCUGUGACUAAUUGUGGCCAGGUCUUUCUAGUGUAGAAAGGCUGCUUUAGGCCCUCUGCUUCUUUUCUGUUGGCCACAAGAGACAUUCUGGUGCUCACGAUGGCCAAAGGUUGUAGAAAAUUUCCUUGAUACUCUCUGAAACACGCACAUAAAGAGAAAGAUUGCGGGGCUGAGUUUCUGUAUUAAGGUGAGGGAGGUUUGCAGUCUUCAGUCCUCCAGCUGUGACUUGGGCAGCCAAACACAGCCAUUAUCUCAGCAGGCUUGUGAGGGAGACUUCAGCAGAAGCUAUUCAUGCGUUGAGGAAACUCUGAACGGCCUUACAGGGUAAAAGCACAGAAGAGGGGGACGAAGAGGCUGGGAUGAAAUGGGGCAGAUACAAGAACGGGGGCAACUAAGGGAACAUCCCACCUGCUGUAUCCCUGAUCCAGCCACGCCCAGCCGCCCCAGCCAAGCAGGAAGCUGUGUACACCACAGUGACGGUGUUGUCCUGGGGACAUAGCAGCGUCACAGGCAGAUCCACCUAUGAGGGACAGGGCACCUCUCAACCCAGAGGUCAGAGUCUGGAACAGACAGAUGCCUCGUUCCUGCUCUGUCCCUGCCAUGGGUCCCAGGCUUCUCUACUGUGUGGCCCUUGGUCUCCUUGGAGCAGGUCCCAUGGGUGCCAUGGUCACUCAGAACCCAAGAUACCAGGUUACCAGACGGGGCACACCUGUGAACCUGAGUUGUUUUCAGAAUAUGAAUCAUGAUGCUAUGUACUGGUACCAACAGAAGCCGAGCCAAGCACCAAAACUGCUGUUUUACUACUAUGAUGAGGUUUUGAACAGUGAGAAAGACACCUCGGAAAACUUCAAAGGCAGCCGGCCUAACCCUUCUUUCUGUUCCCUUGGCAUCCGCUCGCCAGACCUGGGGGACUCCGCCGUGUAUCUCUGUGCCAGCAGCAGAGACACAGAGCUGAAACCUUGCCUCUCUUCUGCUCAUAAACCUGUUUCCCAGAUCCGAUAGCCUCCUGCAGACCCCCCCCCCCCCACAACCAUGAAAGGAAGUGGGUUUAUGGCUCUCAUGAUCUCUGCUGUAGAAAGAAGUUGGGCCUCAACCUACAAAGCCCAUUGACAGUUAGGCCAAGAGUCAAAAAGUGGUUAUUCUUACCCGACCUUUAGUUUGUGGUAAUUUCCCAGAAUCACCUUAAUCAACCAUUCUCUUUCUUCAAUAGAUCCAUAGGAACUUUUUUUCUUAGGUUUUUUUUUUUUUUCUUUUCCAAAUCUAAGUUGGAGACUUAGAAAUAUGUUAAAAGGCAGGCCCAGGCAAGAGGUCACCCCACUUUCCUGAAUGUCUUUUUCUUAAGAAAGUGCCUCCAGGAGUUUCCUGCCCUGGCUCAGUGAUUAAUGAACCCAAUUAGUAUCCAUGAGGAGGAGGG